AGAGUUUGAUCCUGGCUCAGGAUGAACGCUGGCGGCGUGCCUAAUACAUGCAAGUCGAACGCUUUGUCUUUAAUUGAUCUGAAGAGCUUGCUCUGAUUUGAUUUUAUCUGACAAAGAGUGGCGAACGGGUGAGUAACACGUGGGUAACCUACCUCUUAGCAGGGGAUAACAUUUGGAAACAAGUGCUAAUACCGUAUAAUACCAACAACCGCAUGGUUGCUGGUUGAAAGAUGGUUCUGCUAUCACUAAGAGAUGGACCCGCGGUGCAUUAGCUAGUUGGUAAGGUAACGGCUUACCAAGGCAAUGAUGCAUAGCCGAGUUGAGAGACUGAUCGGCCACAAUGGGACUGAGACACGGCCCAUACUCCUACGGGAGGCAGCAGUAGGGAAUCUUCCACAAUGGGCGCAAGCCUGAUGGAGCAACGCCGCGUGUGUGAUGAAGGGUUUCGGCUCGUAAAACACUGUUAUAAGAGAAGAACGGCACUGAGGGUAACUGUUCAGUGUGUGACGGUAUCUUACCAGAAAGGAACGGCUAAAUACGUGCCAGCAGCCGCGGUAAUACGUAUGUUCCAAGCGUUAUCCGGAUUUAUUGGGCGUAAAGCGAGCGCAGACGGUUAUUUAAGUCUGAAGUGAAAGCCCUCAGCUCAACUGAGGAAUGGCUUUGGAAACUGGAUGACUUGAGUGCAGUAGAGGAAAGUGGAACUCCAUAUGUAGCGGUGAAAUGCGUAGAUAUAUGGAAGAACACCAGUGGCGAAGGCGGCUUUCUGGACUGUAACUGACGUUGAGGCUCGAAAGUGUGGGUAGCAAACAGGAUUAGAUACCCUGGUAGUCCACACCGUAAACGAUGAGUGCUAGUAUGUUCCGAGGGUUUCCGC
rnacentral:rRNA from 1 species